rnacentral:miRNA from 1 species
UGCAUCAUGUGUGACCUGCCC